rnacentral:rRNA from 1 species
UGGGGAAUUUUGGACAAUGGGGGAAACCCUGAUCCAGCCAUCCCGCGUGUGCGAUGAAGGCCUUCGGGUUGUAAAGCACUUUUGGCAGGAAAGAAACGACAUGGGUUAAUACCCCGUGAAACUGACGGUACCUGCAGAAUAAGCACCGGCUAACUACGUGCCAGCAGCCGCGGUAAUACGUAGGGUGCAAGCGUUAAUCGGAAUUACUGGGCGUAAAGCGUGCGCAGGCGGUUCGGAAAGAAAGAUGUGAAAUCCCAGAGCUCAACUUUGGAACUGCAUUUUUAACUACCGGGCUAGAGUGUGUCAGAGGGGGGUGGAAUUCCGCGUGUAGCAGUGAAAUGCGUAGAUAUGCGGAGGAACACCGAUGGCGAAGGCAGCCUCCUGGGAUAACACUGACGCUCAUGCACGAAAGCGUGGGGAGCAAACAGG